AUUGAACGCUGGCGGCAGGCCUAACACAUGCAAGUCGAACGGUAACAGGAAGCAGCUUGCUGCUUUGCUGACGAGUGGCGGACGGGUGAGUAAUGUCUGGGAAACUGCCCGAUGGAGGGGGAUAACUACUGGAAACGGUAGCUAAUACCGCAUAACGUCCCAAGACCAAAGAGGGGGACCUUAGGGCCUCUUGCCAUCGGAUGUGCCCAGAUGGGAUUAGCUAGUAGGUGGGGUAACGGCUCACCUAGGCGACGAUCCCUAGCUGGUCUGAGAGGAUGACCAGCCACACUGGAACUGAGACACGGUCCAGACUCCUACGGGAGGCAGCAGUGGGGAAUAUUGCACAAUGGGCGCAAGCCUGAUGCAGCCAUGCCGCGUGUAUGAAGAAGGCCUUCGGGUUGUAAAGUACUUUCAGCGGGGAGGAAGGGAGUAAAGUUAAUACCUUUGCUCAUUGACGUUACCCGAAGAAGAAGCACCGGCUAACUCCGUG
rnacentral:rRNA from 1 species